CUUUAAUUUGCACAUAUUUAUAAAUUGAAACAAAUUUGGUUAUGCUGAAAUUUGGCUGGAAGUUCAUAUUGCAGUAUUUUUCACCCACUAGUGUAUGCUGCUUCAGGAAUCUAAAUGCUAAAUAGAUAUAUAUUUAUUUAUAUCUUCACUCAGGUUCUGUAAAUUUUUGCUGACUACAGUAAGGGUUUUCAGGACUAAACUAUGCACAAAUUUCAAUACUUCUUUGUCAUUAUGGUCUCAAGGUUAUCUACUUUAAUAUGGGAAUUAUAGUGUUUACAAAGUAUCACAAUUCAAAUAUGUAUAUAAAUAUGAAUAUUGAAGUAUGGAAAACUUUAUCGCAUAGAAGUAUGAACUAAUUUACUUCUACUUUUAAGGUCUUAGAAGAAGGCCUGAACAAUACUCACUCUGUAUUUGGUUUGUUGGUAGAGUGCAAGUCAGUUUGCGAAAAUGACUGUACUUUGUGAUGGUUUGAAGAGUGACAUCUGUAGGUGAAACGGGUGAAUAUCAGACAGCUCAUUAUAGAGACAAGCAUGCUGCAUUCCCCGAGUAGGAUGACAGAACAAGUCAUGGGAUCUGGGAAACAUCCUGCCUCCCCUAGGCCCAGGGGCCGUGGAAGAGCAGCAUCACCAGUGUCCAUGGGCAGGAUGAACAAACUGGCUGUGCUCCUUGCAGUUGCUCCUACUGCUGAAGAGGAAACUGUAUCUGAGCUUUUUCACUCGCUCUCUGGUCCCUGUGCUGAAGCUGCUUCAAACAGCUGUCUGUGUAUGUGCUCCACAAUUUGGGCACUAUUUUUGGAGUCUUAUGUGCCUUGGAAUGAAAUGUCCCUGUUCUGCUCAGCUCCCAAAGGCAUUCCCAUUGAGAGCAAAAGAGAUGUCACCUGUGGGCCCUCCUGCCUUUUGCUGAGGAAUCAAAGUCAACCACCUCCUGCAACAGCCCAUGGGGCAGGUAUGCCAUCAUUCCCCGUGCACUGUCAGGUACCAGCACCCAACAAAUAUGACUCCAACACAGCCAGAUGACAGGGUCUGCAGAGGUCUUCUGAUCUGAAUGGGAGAGUGCAUUUUACUUCAUCUGUAUGUGCUUGGAGAAUAACACAUCAAAAUUCUUCUUGAAAAGUAUGGCCAAGUUAGGUCUGUCCACGGUUCCCCACUAUGCUCUUUCCAGUGUAUGGAUCAACAUCAAAUGCAUUGUAGUUUUGGCAAAUAAUUUCUCCCACUCUUCCCUUUCUCUUCCCCCUCCCCUCCCAGCUGACACACAGUGACUAUAGGGGGCAAUGCAACCUCAUCAUACAGCCUGUGUACAUCAGCUACAUACCACAUUAAUAGGCGGAAACUUUAAAGUCUUCGUUUUUACUUCUUGCUUUUGAGCAAUUUGUACCAUGGUAAGCUGUAUUGUUAUUUGGGCCCCAUAAAAUGAGACAUUUUAACUUCAGAUAAGCUUUUACCAGUUACAUUUUUUUGAUUGUUUGUAAAUGAAAGUUAAUAAAGAGUGAUUUCAUUUCA
rnacentral:lncRNA from 1 species